rnacentral:rRNA from 1 species
AUUGAACGCUGGCGGCAUGCUUUACACAUGCAAGUCGAACGGUAGAGGGGCAACCCUUGAGAGUGGCGAACGGGUGAGUAAUGCAUCGGAACGUGCCCAGUAGUGGGGGAUAGCCCGGCGAAAGCCGGAUUAAUACCGCAUGAGACCUGAGGGUGAAAGCGGGGGAUCGCAAGACCUCGCGCUAUUGGAGCGGCCGAUGUCAGAUUAGCUAGUUGGUGGGGUAAAGGCCUACCAAGGCGACGAUCUGUAGCUGGUCUGAGAGGACGACCAGCCACACUGGGACUGAGACACGGCCCAGACUCCUACGGGAGGCAGCAGUGGGGAAUUUUGGACAAUGGGCGCAAGCCUGAUCCAGCCAUGCCGCGUGCGGGAAGAAGGCCUUCGGGUUGUAAACCGCUUUUGUCAGGGAAGAAAUCUUCUGGGCUAAUACCCUGGGAGGAUGACGGUACCUGAAGAAUAAGCACCGGCUAACUACGUGCCAGCAGCCGCGGUAA